rnacentral:lncRNA from 1 species
AAGCGAUCAGCUUGAAAUGAUUUCUCCUUCUGGGAUAAAUUCAGCAGUUUCUGCAAAAGAUAAACAACUGGAAGAGACUGAAGUUCAUUAAGAUGAUGAUAAACCCCUUCUUUGAAAGAAUACUUCGACUUCUAUAUUAUUAUAGCAGUAGAUACUUCGUAUAAUCAGCCUUGUUAAUACUAAUAUUUUGCAGGAAAUGAAGCUAGACACUUGUAUAUUGACAAAGUGAACAUGAAAUGAGCAUAUUUUGUAGGGAUUAGAGAGCAAGCUGAUAUUCAUUAACCAAAAAUACCAUUUACUAUGGAUAAAUUCAAACUACCUCUUCUUCAAUUUUAUCAAUCUUUCAUAGGCGUUUGCCUUAAAUUCAAUUGGAGGAAGUACACUAAAGAAACAAGAAUUUAAUUAGUUUGGAUUAGCAGUGAAACAGAAGAAAACAUUACCAAGACGAGCAAACAAACUGACCAGAAAACAACAUGAUAAAUAAAAACUUUGAGUUUCUUAAAUAAUUAUUAUUGUUAUAGCAAUUCGUAUUUUAUUACCAUUUUUUAAUUAUGAGAAACCAUUUGAAAGAGAUCUUUUAAUUAGUAGAGUAAUUUUUUCCUUUUUUUGGAUGAAGAAGAAGUAAGAAUCAAAUCUUUUACGGAUAAGAAUAAAAACAUACCUUCUAUUAUCGAAAAUUAUUUAAAGAUAUACUCCAUUAUACUAUUUCAUCAAAAUUACCUCGUGUUACUAUUAAUCAAAUAUACCCUCUCAAGUUAACGGAAAGCCACGUGGAAGCCAUUUAAGCCAACUGUAGCAUCCGGGUAAAACUUUCUCGACCCAAUAAACAAUAGGUAACUCACCCAUCUGAUCAUUCAGGUUUAUUUUUAGGGUUUAUUUAUUACUUAUAUUUUUUCUCUAAUUAAUUAUGCUUAAUUGUUAGAAUAUCCCAAUAACCAUUUUUAUCACCAGAAACCUCCCGUCAUCUUUACAACAAAUCACAGUAACAACUUAAUCUUCCAUUAAAUAUUCACAAAAACUGAAUCUCACAAUGACCAUAUCAAAUGCCCUAUUCUCUUAAUCAGUUGUUCAUUAAAAUUUUGCAACCAAUAAUUAUACUUUGAGACAAGUAAAAAGUGGAGAAAGAGAGAUGUCAUGAGCUCAUGGCUAGUUACAAGUUGAAUUGAAAUAUUAUUAAAAAAACUACAGCCAUGAGAAGGUGUUAGCUAUUCUUAACUUCCUAAAAACGCUAAUAAGCUCCUAAUUAAUUAUAAUUACAAAGGGAUGGCCUAAAGACCCAACUGUAUGUACCAUCAUUUUCUUGUUAGACACCUUGCUAGUAGCUUGAUGUUUGAAUCUUGAUUUUUUGCUCUUAAAAUUAUGGAGGUCUGAUGAGUUUUUGGAGAGAAAGUGAUAUAGGAAGAAGAAAAGCAAGAAAGAGAAAAAGAAGGCUGGAAAAAGAUGGAGUACAUGGUUGGGUAUCUGGUAAAUAUGUUGUGAAGAAGAUGAGAUUUUNNN